rnacentral:sRNA from 2 species
UGGAUUAGUGAGUGAAUCUUAAAGGCAUCGAUUGGAUGUGCGUAAAUUAAAACUCAAUUGUGUAAUAACACACACGAAUCGGCACGUGCGCCGGGGUGCUCUUAUGCGUUUAGACGCAGCUAUAGAGUCGGUAGCAUGGGAUUCGUGGAGGCAUAACC